AAGUCGUAACAAGGUUUCCGUAGGUGAACCUGCGGAAGGAUCAUUACCUAGAGUUGUGGGCUUUGCCUGCUAUCUCUUACCCAUGUCUUUUGAGUACUUACGUUUCUUCGGCGGGUCCGCCCGCCGUUGACAUUUUAAACCCUUUGCAUUUGAAAUCAGCGUCUGAAAAAUUUAAUUAUUACAACUUUCAACAACGGAUCUCUUGGUUCUG
rnacentral:misc_RNA from 1 species